rnacentral:rRNA from 1 species
UGGGGAAUAUUGCACAAUGGGCGCAAGCCUGAUGCAGCCAUGCCGCGUGUGUGAAGAAGGCCUUCGGGUUGUAAAGCACUUUCAGCGAGGAGGAAGGCAGUCGUGUUAAUAGCACGGUUGAUUGACGUUACUCGCAGAAGAAGCACCGGCUAACUCCGUGCCAGCAGCCGCGGUAAUACGGAGGGUGCAAGCGUUAAUCGGAAUUACUGGGCGUAAAGCGCACGCAGGCGGUUUGUUAAGUCAGAUGUGAAAUCCCCGCGCUUAACGUGGGAACUGCAUUUGAAACUGGCAAGCUAGAGUCUUGUAGAGGGGGGUAGAAUUCCAGGUGUAGCGGUGAAAUGCGUAGAGAUCUGGAGGAAUACCGGUGGCGAAGGCGGCCCCCUGGACAAAGACUGACGCUCAGGUGCGAAAGCGUGG